AUAUCGUUAACGAGUUGCCAAAACGGCGGUUUUUUUAGGGCAAUUUUUGUCAAUGGGAAAAAACCUUCAGCAAGUGCACCCUAAAUAAACCCUCGCUACGCCUGUGGCUGAGAUCUUUAACAGAGAGUUGAAAAUCAGAAUGGCGAAGCGAGAUUUGUCGGGUUCGGAGCCCGAUGAAAGCGAGAAUUCAAGUUCGGAAGAAGAAGGAGAAGAAGUGGGGAAGCUGAAGGGGAUAACGGAGUAUGAGAAACAGAGACUAUCGAGAAUCGCGGAGAAUAAAGCUAGAAUGGAGGCUCUGGGUCUUAAUAAAAUGGCAACUUCUUUGAUGGGUUCGGUUCAGAAGUCAAGGCAGCGAAAAGGGAAACAAAAAUUUGUUGAUGACGAGGAAUAUAGGCCCAUUGAUGAGACUGCUAGUGAUGACGAUGGCGAUGAUUUUGAUGACGAAGAUUUUGUGGGAGGUCAAUCUUCUUCGAAGUCUCGGAGAAGUAAGGAUAAGAGGAAAAGUUCAAAACCUAAAAAAAUUCCUGUUCAGAAGCAUGUUAGUGGUGCAGAUUACAUUUAUGGGGAUGAUGAUGAAUUAAUGCAGGCAAUUGCUCUGUCAUUGCAUGAUUCUGCAAAUGAUGCAACUCCUAAAGAGAGAAAGGUAGAUGCUCAGGUUCAAGAAGAUGCAGGAAGGAAGAAGAGGAAAAAAGCGUUCAGUAGUCGGGUGCAGAUGACUGAGGAUGACCUUAUCUUGCAUUUCUUUCAGUUUGAUGAGGCAGGAAAAGGGGCAAUAACGAUGAGAGAUCUCCGAAGAGUAGCAAUUGCUCAUGAUUUUACAUGGACAGACAAGGAAUUGGCUGAUAUGAUACAUUGCUUUGAUGGUGAUGGAGAUGGGAAGGCUCAAGGACUCUUUCCAAAUGCCGUGGCACUUUUUGAGUGUUUUAGUUUGGAACUUUGAACAGUUUGCUGAUCUGUUGCUCGAAGUGGAUGCAUUGUGAGUCAAGGAUAUUCAUCUAAGUCUUGAUGAUUUUCGAAAGAUUGCUGGUCGAUGCAACAUGAUUCAGAGUUCUGAAAAUCAAUGAUGGAUACAAUAUUGGCAUCACAUUCAUUGUGGAGAUAUGUGAGGAAGUGCAUCUCUGACUCUUCAUAACUUUCUGAGUUCUUUAUUGUGUUUCUAAGGUACUUUCUGUUUUCUUUUUUGUCUUUGUAAGUGAUGGCUACUUUAAGAAUUUGUUCUGAUUGGCCUUUUGCAGAUACAAUCUGCAUCUGGGCUAUGUAUUAAAAUGUGAAGAAUUACCGUAGCUUCCCGCAAUGUUGUAUAUAUAUGAUGGUAUAAAUUUUCUCUAAAAGCACGUUGUUUAUAUUUUCAA